rnacentral:piRNA from 1 species
UGUGCCCAAACCAACAAAUGGAGAUAGAC